GACGAACGCUGGCGGCGUGGAUUAGGCAUGCAAGUCGAACGGUAUCAUCCUUUCGGGGGUGAGAGAGUGGCGAACUGGUGAGUAACACGUAGGUUAUCUACCCUCAAGACGGGGACAACCCAGGGAAACUUGGGCUAAUACCGGAUGUGAGCAAACUUUUAGUUGUUUGAAAGGUGGCGUAAGCUGUCGCUUGGGGAUGAGCCUGCGUCCUAUUAGUUAGUUGGUGAGGUAACGGCUCACCUAGGCAAUGAUAGGUAGGCGGCCUUAACGGGUGGUCGCCCACACUGGGAUUGAGAUACGGCCCAGACUCCUACGGGAGGCAGCAGUCGAGAAUAGUCUAACAAUGGUCGGAAGACUGAUAGUGCGACGCCGCGUGAACGAUGAAUCCCUUCGGGUGUAAAGUUCUUUUAUAUGUGAGCAGUGCUUCUUAUAUUAACAGUAUGGGGAGAGAGAUAUUAGCAUAUGAAUAAGCAAGGCUAACUCCGUGCCAGCAGCCGCGGUAAAG
rnacentral:rRNA from 1 species